AUUUAAUCAGAAUAGUAAAGCUGGACUCUUGAGGUGAAGUCAUGUCACCUAUGAAUGGAGAAGUAGACCAAAAUUGAGGAACUCAAGUUUCGAUGGACAAGAAAAAGGAAAUGAAGAAUGCUGCCAUGCAUGUAGGGACACGUGGAUGAAACUAGCAGAUAUUUUAUUAGAAGAUUUCGAAAUCUGUCCUCCACGUAGGGUCAGGUAAACUGACCUGAUCAUUCAUAAUUCAUGCUUCAUAAGCCUUAUUAUGGACUCUCACAAAAUACAUUUCUUUUGAG
rnacentral:misc_RNA from 1 species